ACCGCGCCCGUGCGUCUGCGCGCCUGGCCGCCAGGUGACCCAGCAGCCCGGCCGCCGAGAUGCCCAACCCGCCCAGGCUCCGGGCGCUGUGACUUCGCGCCGCUGUGUGCGCCUCCCCGAGCGCCGGCUGCGCCCCCCAGCCCGGCCCGGGGCCUACCGCCUGCCCGGCCCCCUGCCACUGCCAGGAGGACGGCAUCAUGCUGUCUGCCGACUGCUCUUGAGCUUGGGCUGUCCGCCAUACCGGGGGACCUGGAUCCCCUGACGGCUUACCUAGCAGUGCCCAGGAUGGUGGCUGAGGGUAAAGCUGACAGAACUGGAGGUGGAGGAAGUAGCAGGCCAGAGAGGACUCGAAGAUCCUUAGAAGGAGCCAUAGACGGAACCAUAGGAGGCGCCCAGGAGCUAUGGGCUCCAGAAGUUUCCUCCUAAACUGUGGUCUCAGCGAGGCUCAUUGACACUCACCGGGGUUUCGACAUUCUCCCUGGCUAGGGCCUGUUCUGGAAAUAGACCAAGGGGGAGAUGGAGCCCCUGGCCGUGGGACAUCCAAUCUGAUGGUGAUGAGAAGGCAUGAUGCCUCUUGUUCUAUUCUUUUUUGUUUCUUCUUUUUUUUUAAAUAAAAAAGACCAGUAAUGUGCUGACUUCAU
rnacentral:lncRNA from 1 species